AGAAGCUGGUGGACCUCUGGCAUUUUCAUCUGGCUGGCUGCAGUUUCCUGGCUCGGACCUCAGAUCUCUAGCUGUCUCACUGUCAGAGUCUCCUCUCCCCACUCCCCCAACUGCCUCCCCUCUCUCUUGUCUGAGUGAGCCUUGUAAAGAUCUACAUUUUUUGUCUGUCCCCCAUCCCCCAGUGACCUCAGUGUUAACCCUAGAUGACCACUUCUCACCCAAGAUCCCACAACAUUUUGAAGCUGGACAAGAUGGUUCCCUGCUUCCUAAGAGGUGUCCCUGAUGAGUUCCAGAAUCCUGUGGAACCCAGUUUGAUGAUCACUGAUGAGAUGAAGUGAGUUCAGUUCUUGAGUCUGGAUGACCUGGGUUCCGAACUUAAUUCUCUCCUAGCUAUGACUCUUGAGAAGGAUCAGACCCUGGGGAGCACCGAUCUGCAUUCUAGCACGAAGAAGCAAGGUGAUUCUGAAGAGUGCUCAGUUCACCCCACUAUCUUCUCCAGAGCUUUCUACAUUGUUGACUGGGUCUGGCUCACCAAGGGCAGAGGAAGUUCUUCAGGCUGAAUGAGAAAGAUACGUAGAUGAACUAUCUGGAUAAAGAAAAGAGGAAGAACAUUUGAGAUAAAUGGAUAGCUGACGUGAAGUUUUCUCUUCUCCAGAACCAAGGCCUGCUGCCUCUUCAGAGAACAAGGUCAUUUUGGCUGUAGUUCAGGGGCUAAUGUGGAAGGUGCAACACCUUGUCUCUGCCCUGGGAAGACACUAACAGGCCAUUUAGGAAACCUCUGCAGGGCUGAGUGAGGUUCACUGCUCAGCUACUGUCCUGGCUUGCAGGAUGUGGGAACACAUACCCAGAAACACCUCCUCAUCCAUAUGUCUGACCAUGGCUCCUCUGCCCUUCAAAACCUUACCUUCCUCACAUGCCUCCCAGAGAGCACAUACUUCAAGAAAACCAAAGAAAGAAAAAAUGGCCCCAAGAGUGACCUCUGGCUACAAAGGACACUGCAGCUGACUUAUAAAGUUAUAAGAUUCUCUGACAAAACUCUUUAUGACCCAGAGCAACUACUUAGAGUCUGUUACAAGGUGCAUAGUGUAUUCUCUCUGUGAGUUACUUCUGUGGGCUCCACAAAAGGCAUGUUUGCCAAAAGCCUGGUACAUGGUAGUUCCCAGUGACUGAAUCUUCUCCCACUGGAAAAGUGAGGAAUGGAGAAAAGUCAGGCAGAUAGCCUAUGAGCUGGCUAGGUUUGCGUGCCCAUCAUCCUCUUAGGUAAAAGGCCAAAGGAAUUAGGGACAUGUCCCAAGCAGUAUGGCUGUAGCCAUGCCACAAAGUCAUCCAGCCUCUUGGUGCACCUCAAAGACUCAGUCAGUACUACAUUGACUUAUUCACUUGGUUUGUCCCUACCAAGACUCUCUAACAUAGUGAAAAUAAGUACAUACCUUCCCCAGCUGCUGGCUUCAUUAUAGACUGGAGGCUUGACUUAGUAGUCACCUACUGGCCCAAAUCUGCUCUGGCCUUUCAAGCAAGGUUCUCUGGCCCUUGUUCCCAUGGCAGGACUUGUGGGACUCACUUGAUGGCCAUGAUUGUAGAUCGUGAUGCACAAUGCAGUGAUUGGCUCAUGACAGCUCAGCUUUCUUGCCACAUGGAAACUUCCUUCAAUAUGACUUAGUGCUCAGCCACAUUCCAGGACAACAGAUACUAGGACCUUUCCCAAAGCACAACCUAUUCAGUCUUUCAGGCAUCCUUUGGUCUUCAAUGAGGAAAUACCAAAUGGUUUCUGGCUGUCUUGGAGGCUGACUGCAGCUGUUCCAUGUUUCCCUCCUCUAAACAUCGAGAGUCAAGUGCACACAUCAGAAACUUGUCUUCUACUGUAAGCCAGUACUGAAGAAUACCCUGUCAGCAGAGUGGCCACAGAGAUUAGCCCCCUGCUGUCAGCAAAAGAAAUAACCCUGCUCAUCCCAGGAGGUGUCCCUUUACUGCAUGCCACCCAGGAGACCUGCAAGCUCCUCCUUGCAAAGAGCCUACUGGCUGCCAGGUCCAUCCUCAGGGCUUCUAUCUGAUAUGCAUGAUCUUUCUAUCUGGGCCAAAGGGAAGUGCCAGGAAUCCCUCUGUGGAAGUUCAAGAAGGGAGGAGAUGACACCAAAUGGGGCUGGUCAGGCAAGAGGAGGAGGAGGAGAUGGCUCCAGGAUUCCCUUCACCCUAUGUGGCACACCUUGCAGCUCCAGCUUGGCCCCAGGAGUAGAUCUGCAAGGCAGCAUCCCACAUUUUCCCUUUGGUAUAAACUGGGCUUCCACUGGGGACAGGUUCUCUCUUCUUCAUGGCCCUGUACCCUCCAUCCCUGCUAGUUCAGGGUUUCUGCCCCUAGCUAGUGCAUGCAACCCCUUUUCCUCAUCUUGGUGACUAGAAUUUCCCCCUCAGACUGUCUUCCUUCAGGCUUCACCCUGCUUGAUGCCUUUCUCUCCCCUUCCCCUUUCUCUCUCUCUUUCACCUUUUCUCACUUCCCCCUCCCCCUUUCAUGUUGCAACUCUUCCUCCUCCUGGGCAUACGGUUUCUGUACUUCUGUUCAACUCAUCAGGAUACUUUUGUUGUGGAAGAGGGGACUAGCUGGUAAAGACCGAACUCUGUGGAUCACUCAGUUCUGUGUGAGUGUUCAGUCAUACGCAGCCUGGAGGGUUGGUACUUCAUAAGGUGGAAGCCACUCGGACUAUAUCACUCUCCAGAACUUGACGUUUGGGUCACAGGAGGGUGGGGCUAUUAGCUCGAACCUGGCUGUUAGAGGAGGGGGAUAGGAGCUUGUGUCAUGUUUCUUGUUGGUGUGUGGUGGUUGACAGUUGUUUGGGCGCACUGCCUCUAAAGUUCUAGCCUGUGUCCCUCCUGUGGUUCUCAGUCCGUACCAGGUGGAGACCAGCUCCAGUGUUUAGCAAGUGGAUGUGUGAGUCUGUUCUGAAAUCCUUGAAAGAAGAUAAAGAGUGUAGUCAGUGAUUGUGACAGAGACAGGACUAAACUCAGCACCACCCUAGCCCCACUGUACCAUGGCUCACUCCUUGAUUUCACACUCUGAAAUGUAUACCCUCAUACCAAACCCCCUCCAUCCUUCACAAACUCUGGUCACAACUGCUGUCUGUUUCUGGCUCAACUUUCCCAGGUAAGUAGGAUGCUGUGGGACAUUUUAAAGAUUUAUAUUCUAUAAAUGGAUGCAGUCUGCCAAUGGCAGGAUACACCUAAAACGCAAAGGGAAUACAAUACACAGAAGUCAAUCUUGGUGGCCAUGCCUACUAGGUUUCCUGUGGGACUCAAUUUUUCUUUUUCUUCUGUAGUCCUUCCUCUGGAAUGUGUCCCUUUUUUCUUUGAGGGUAAAGAGGCAACAACAUAGACUGUGAAACAAGUGGAGAAUCAACCCCCAUACCUACUUCUACCCCUUCUUCAGUUGAUUUUUGAGUAUGGGUGCACCCUAGGACUGGUUACUGCUGCUUCAAGGAUCAAGGGAUAGCAGGAAAGCCAUCUCCUGUGCAGCCCAUGUUUCUUUCUUUUUCAACAACUUCUUGCAGUUUUCUAGAUGAGAUGCUGAUAGGAAGGCAGGGCAGGUCCACGCCUCCUCCUCCUCCUCCUCUUCUUCUUCCUCCUCUUCUUCUUCCUCCCCCUCCUCCUCCUCCUCUUCCUCUUCCUCUUCCUCCUCCUCCUCAUGGGGAGAGGGAGGUUAGAAGGACCUACAGGGCUUGUGUUUGAAUGGAUUUUUGGCAAGUUUCCACAUUUGCUGAUUGAGGUAGCCAUAUUGAAUUGAUGGUAGAUUAUAUUGUAAGUAGCCAUGAUAUCAUUAUGUCUCUCUUUCCUACAGAUUCUAUGAUUUCUCGAACCUUGUAGCCAAAGCAGUAACAUAGUGUUCACAGUCUUGAUGACUAGGAUUGUGCAGACUGUUUUUUGGGGGCUCACGGUGAGACUUCAUUACAGUGAGACAGUCAUGGGUGUCUCAUGGGUGUAUCGUGUUUGAUGGUAACCAUGGACCCAGACUCUGUAAUGCAUAGGUAUGAAAUGAAUUUUUCUGAGGCUUUUGGUAGGUUUCAUAGACUCAUAUAUUUGUGGCUGUGACCAGCUGGUGCAGAUCUGAAGAGGUUGAAGUCUUGUAUGGUGUAGGCCCAGUGACCAUAGUGUAAGUCAGAGUACGGAAGCUCCACAUGUCUGUGGAGAGUUUGUGAUGGUCCCCAACAUCUCUAGUGCUGAGUAAGAAAGUGUGCCAGUGACAAUGUCUAGCCAGAGGUGACAUUUGUGGCCAUCAGGGCUUCACAGAGUCUAUCGUUUCUGUCUACAUUCAAGAGCAGAUUGUCUGCUUUUAUGUCAUAUAGGCAAUGUUUGUUUCAUGGAGGGACUGAGCUGCAGGUGCCACUAUCUCUCCCCUCUAUGUAUGGCCACAUGCCCCUAUGAGAUUGACCAUAGUUCCCCAUGCCAUAAAUUCUAUGAUCAAAUUUGUCUUUUUUUGGUUUGCCGAAUGGCUGGAAGUUCUUUGCAGUGUUUGGAUUUAGGACUGCUCUUACAGUAUUCAUUCAGGUGGCUUUGUUGAUGGCCUUGUCCAAGAUCUUCACAGCUACUCUGGUAUUGGUGGGUGCAUGGUAUGCUGCUUACUUUGAAAAUAGGCAGUGGCCCCGGGCCAUUAAGACAUAAUGAACUUUGAGGAUAUCCUCAUCAAAGGGGCUGUCUCCAAGCUCUUAUGUUUGCUACCUUUACAGGUAGAAAAUGAAUUUGCUACUCAAUGCUUUAAAAAAAAUUAGAGCAAAUCUAAAAGUUUAUGGCCACAAAUUCCUACCUCUUAAAAUUCCAGAUACCCAAACAACCUAAUGAUGUUCUUCAAGGUUGUAGACAAACAAGAGCAAUGGAAACCCCAAAGCAGCUGAGGAGAAAGCAUAAGAAAGAUGAGAGCUGAGGUUGAGUAGGCACCAAAGUGACAAAGAACCAAAGAAACACGUUGAUUUGAAAGGAUCAAGGAAACGGACACCCCUUAGCUCAGCUAACAGAGAAGGCACUAAUAAAGACAAAAGUUGUUAUCCAAAUAAAUAAACAAAAAUCUAGAGAAUCCCCAGGGAAUAAUUGGGCAAACAUAUUACAGAGAGGUGACAAUACCGAGAGAAAGAUACUUUAAAACACUUCAAGACGUCAAUAUACAGAACACAACUGACAUAGAGACAGUGUCUCCCAACAAAGAAUAGCUUGAGGCCAGUGACUCACUGAUGAACCCUGUCCACCAUUGAAGAAGAGCAAGACCCAGUGCUCCUGAAGCUACUCUAUCAAAUAGAAAUGGAAGGCACGCUGCUAAACUGAAGACAGCAUGACUGUUCCUAAACCCCAGAUGCCAGACAAAGUGCAAGCCAGUUUCCUGGAUGAACAUGCAUGUGAAAUGUGCCAGGUUCACCAGCACAUUAAGAAGCUGGUGCUUCAUGAGCAAGGUGAAUUCAGCAAGGAGUGCUAGAAAUUCCACAUAAGCUCGUGUCCAGGCAGGUUCAAAGGGAGAGCCCUAUGCUCAGGCACCAAGAACAGGAUGCUGUCGUUUUCUGCUACACAGAUGGGCAUUGGCUUAUUUGUAAUAUGGCACGGGUGGGUGGAUGAUGGGGCCUUAAUGUAAAGAGAAUUUUAGCCACGUGUAGGAAUCUGGUAAAAAUUCACAGGGCAGGGGAAAGUGAUAAAAUUUGAUAUGCAUGGAAGUGUCACAAUAAAGUUCCUGAUUUUUCACAGCUAGAAACAUGUUUCACCACAGACUAGAUGAAACUGAAAAAUCCCAGUGAAGGAAAAUGCACACUUGCACAAAGCCCAAAGCAAAAGUAAUGAGGGCAUGAAUAAAAACGAAACGGAAUCAAACGAAAAGCAACAAAGUGGGACACUCAGUAUGUCAAAAAUCUCACAGAUUUGGGAAAUACAAAGUUUUCGAAAUCAAAGUUCGAACCCAAUGGCUGUCCACACUAACAUGAGCUUCAGACAAAUCCAAGCCUGAGCCAGCGUCUAUCACAACGUUUUCUGUGAUGUAACAAAAGGACCAAUAGCAGCAAGGAACAACUCAAUAUGGUUUCACUGCCCCCAACGACUGCAUUAGUUAAUUUUUCUCAUGCCUGUGAAACCUGACAAGAAGCCACUUAAAGGAGGGUGACUUUGCCUCAGCCUUGCAGAGAGCAGGGAAGGGAUUGUCCUAGGAGGAGCCAGUGGUUUGGAGAGCUAUAUUUGAGGUGUUAAUGGUUUUUGGAGGCCUCGGUUUUCUCCAGUCAUUCGAUUCUCAUAGGUUCUGCCUCCCCAUGCUUUCACUCCCUCUCAGCACGACCAGCUAGAGGCCAAGCAUUCAGUCACAUGACAGGCUGUGACAAUUUUCACACUCAGCCCUUAAGGAGGACAUCUGGACCUUUAAUAAGAGCAGCACAGGCAGUGGAGACAGACAAAAUCUUUGUUUUGCCCUGGGGUAUGCAAGUGGGAAUCAGCUCACUGCAGAGUGUGGUGUAGGCUGUUUCAAUGACUUUCACUAAAAUUUCUUGGGAACUUAGGCUUGUACAGAAUUCAUCUCUACACUUAUGGAAUACUUUUUUUUUCUAAUAUGAAAUACUUUUUUUUCCUAAUUCUCUCCUACAAUAUACCCUGAGCAGUUUCUCCUCUUCUCCUAGCUCCUACCUUCCCUCUUCUCCAGAUCCACUUCUAUUUUAUGUCAGAAAAGAGCAGGCCUCCCAGGGAUAUCAACCAACACAGCGAAACAAGAACAGUAAGACUAGAUAUAAACUCCCAAGUCUGGGCAAGGCAACCCAGUAUGAGGGAAAAAGUCCCACAAGGCAAAAGAGGCCUCCCCCUCUCACUGUUAGGGGUCCCAUAACUACAAGAUACACAACUAUUAAUAUAAAUGCAGAGGACCUAAUGCAGACCCAUUCAGGCUCCCUGGUUGAGCUCAGUGUCUGUGAGUCCCCAUGAGCCCUGCUUAGUUGAUUCUGAGGGCUGCGUUCUCCUGUGUCCACAGCCCCUCCAGAUCCUAUAGUCCUUCCUCCUCCUCUUCCUUGAGGUUUCCUUAGCCCCACCUAAUGUUUGGCUGUGGGUUUCUGCAUCUGCUCCCAUCUGCUGCUGGAGGAAGCCUUUCUGAUGAUCUGGUCUUCUAAUGGUCAGUGUGGCCUCUGGAAAUACUUUUUAAAAAAUUUAUGGGCAUCAAAAGGAUAGUAGCUCCCUUCUCCACUGUGAUGUAAGAAAAUGAACUGUUACUCAAUAUGCCCCAGGGCAUCUUUUAUCUCAUAGAUAUAGGGAUGAUAGACUUUUAAGCUUACAGAGAGACUGGGAUGGGAGUGGGGUUAGAGGUGGAUAUGAUCAAAAUGCAUGCCAUAAUUUCUUUAGAAAUAAUUUCCUGGUUAGGAUUAUGUUCCCUUUCCACAAACCCAGGUACUCUACUGCAUCUUUCAAAUUCAAGGCCUCUUUUAAAAAUACCAUGUAUAUUCAUAAAUACAUUAGUGCAACGUGCGCAGUCUAAGACUAUUGAAAGUACGUGUGUGUUUUCAGGGCUGACCAUGGCAUUGGAUAAUUAGUGUGCUCUUCCCUGGAGAAGACUUUCUCCUGUGGUCAGCUUUUCUUAGUUGCCUGCAUUUUGUCUAGGGCUGAGUGUUUCUGCUUUCAUAUUAGCAUGGCCAUUCGUGUCCUCUGUUUAGGUCACGUUAGGAAGAUAUGUUAGCGAGGCUCUAACAUUUCUAGGAGACACAGCCUCACAGCACACUUCCUGAUAUUCUGCCUCUUAAACUCUUUCUACUCCAUCUUCCACAGGAGUCCUGAGCCGUGGGUGCCAGGAGUUACUCUGGAGAUGGAUCUACUGGGGCUGGUCUCAACAACUCACAUUGUGAUCAGUCAUGGCUUUCUGUAAAGGUCUACAUGUUGUAAAGAGAAGUUUCCUUAAGGAGGGAUGAGAGCUAUACUUAUCCCUGGGUAGAAGAAUAAAUAUUUAGUAUGUCUUUAAAGAUUAUACUGGCUUACUAAAGUAGCAGUUAUAUAUUCAACAUUCUUGACUUCACUAGCCCUAGGUAGUCGGCUAGGUUUGCAGUACCAAGCAUGAUUUCCCUCUUCAAGUAGAUAGCUGCUGGUUACUGCAGUGUACGAGUGCCAUCGCUGGAAGGAUGAUUGAGGUCAUCAUGCCAUGCUGGUAAUUGUGCUUCAUAGGCAUCGUUGCUGGGUAGGACUGUUGCUUCCUUCCAUUGGAAGCUUAACACGGCCCUUUCUGGUCCCAUGAAAAUGAGUUCUCAGGGAAGCUGUCAGGGGAGAUCUAGCUCAGGGCUUCUGGUCCUGUGAAGUGCAUGAUGUCUCCAGACACAGGGAGUUAACUUCCACCUCUAAAGGGCAGUAGCCUACAAUAUUUUGGGAGUCUUAGACACCUCUGAUAAAUUCAGAAGAUGGCUUCCUGCUCAUGAUUGAUAUCUGGGACUUUGUUAGACAGCCCAUGCUUUUGUGGGGAUUAUUGGCAGCCCAGAUGGGAAAAAGUUCAUUUAAGCUUUAUACAUUUAUACAGGGACCAAUGUACACUAUAGGUGUUUUUAUGUACCUACUUAAUAGUAUCCCUUGAUGAGAGAUUCUUACUGUUCUUUUGUAGUUAUUUCUCUCCCCUCCUUAAAUAGAACCUGCACUUGCAUGUUCAGAGGACAUAUACCCCGCCAUCCCCUUCUUGUCCCACCUCCCUCAAUAAUCCCCUUUCACUUUUCUGCUAUCUAGAGUUACCACAGGCUAUGUAUUCACAUCUGAAGACUGGGAACUGGGAGUCUCCAGUGAAAAGAGCAUGGGGCUCUCUGAGUUACCCCCACUGCCUCAAUAGGAUCUUUUCCAGUUCUAUCAAUUUACCUGAAAAUUUGCUUUAAUUCUUCUCUACAGCUGAGUACAGUUCCACAGUGAGUAUGGGCCACACUUUUCAUGGUCCAUUAUUCAGCUGAAGGGCACUGAAGUUGUUCCCAUUUCCUAUUAUUGUGAGUAGAGCAGCGGUGAGCAUGGCUGGACAAGUAUCUGU
rnacentral:lncRNA from 1 species